UACGUAGGUGACAAGCGUUGUCCGGAUUUACUGGGCGUAAAGAGCGCGCAGGCGGUCGAUCAAGUCGAGUGUGAAAGCCCCCGGCUCAACUGGGGAGGGUCAUUCGAUACUGAUCGACUCGAAGGCAGGAGAGGGUGGUGGAAUUCCCGGUGUAGUGGUGAAAUGCGUAGAUAUCAGGAGGAACACCGGUGGCGAAGGCGGAUCUCUGGGCCAUUACUGACGCUGAGGAGCGAAAGCGUGGGGAGCGAACAGG
rnacentral:rRNA from 1 species